CUGGCGGCUUCUCCUAAGGGGGGACUAUUUGACGUGUCGGUGCGGCGAAUUUAUUUCCCUUUGCCUAAGGAACGGGCUGUGCUGCGGCCCCCAUUGCCUAGGGAAAAAGCCCGGAUGUAAAAUGCUUCAGGAAGUCACGAUGAACUCAUUAUUUUAUUGUGAAACUAAAUCCAUAAAGCAGUCAUGAUGAGUAACUCGGGGACUUGUCGUAAUUGGGCAGUAACGCAGAGUUUUAUCAUCUGGAGGAUUCUAGUGGGCUCAAUGUGGUUACCAAUUCUGUGUGAUUUAAUUGUGAACUUUACAACAUUUAGUGCCCUUCUUAAAGCUGUAGCUCCUGGACUCAUACAAUUAUGCAAGAAAUUCAGGUUUGGGGUUUUUUUUAAUGAAGUUUCUAGCCUCUGGGUUUGUGGAUGUGACCUUAGAGACACAAACCUUAAAGGAACAAAAAGGAAAAGGUAUGAUACUGAACAGCAGGGCUGAUGGAGAACUAAAAAAAGAAAAACACAGAGAAUAUAUCAGAGUGCUUGUGAAAUAGUUACCAAUAGGUACACAGUUCAUGGAAUAACAGAUCCUUCAGAAGAAUUCUCCUACCUUUGAGGAACUUGAAGAGGAAAAAUGUAAUAGAAUUGUAAAGCUAUGAAUGGAAAUGAAACCGCUGAGUAUGUUUUCAGGGACCCGCUGAAAGGAAUUUGCAACUUUUGUAAUGGAACAUAUCAGUGUGUCACUAGCCUGAUAAGCAAAUAGAAAGGCAGACUGGUAAACCAAAGGCAUGAGCCACAGACCAUGACAGCAACUACCAGGUUGUAAUGCAGACAUAUAGAUAUGGCAACAGGUAGGCCUCCCACAUGCAUAGAAAUCAGACAUUCUGACAAACAGCGUCAAAAAAAAAAAGUGCAUUUCUGUAAACAAUUAAACACCAAUAGAAGGGGUAUCAUGUCUGUUUAGUCUUUUCAGAUGUUAGUGGUCAUUUUGGCACCUUAAGGAGAAACGUGAUAAACCAGAGAAGAGAGGCAAGGAGCUAAGGAAAACUAUAGGAUGAUGAUAAUUGCAAGGUGUUAAGUACUUCAAAUAUAAAUACUGAUUGUGGUUUUCAAAAAUAUUUCUGUAAAUUUGUCCCCUAAACCCUUCUAUAUCACUAGAUACAUAAAAAGCCUGUAGUUUGAGUGGAUGGAGCAUCUAAGAAGCAAUUCAGUUCUCUAAGUAUUUAACUAGACAUAUAUUUGAGCUGCCAGUUUGGGACUACCAGCUGAGCAUCAUUUUGUCCUAUAGAGUAAUGUAGCAAGAAAAGUAUCAAUGUUUGAACACAGUAAAGAAGUAGUAAGCUUUGGGAAGUAUUAAACUACUGGAAUCCUGUGUAUUUAUUACAUGUUGUCUUGAUUUUACUGUGCUGAAAAGUAGCUCAGCAUAGGCACAAGGACAAGGGAGGGAAGAAGAGCUGUGAAGUAAGUGUUAUGGAGGGAUGAGGAAGGGGAAACCUAGGAGCAGAGCUCUGCCUGGCUUUGCAUGCAAGAAUAAGAGUUUAAAAUGACUCAGUGGACAGAAAGGUCAAUGCUAGUGCAAACGUGCAGUGAGUUUUCACGGCCCAACAAUAAGUAGCUUUAGUCAUCUCUAGAUUGUCUGGGAUUAAGUGUAUUGUGGGUAAAGAUACCCCCAAGAUGACUGAUGCUGAACUAGCAUGGGCUCGCUCACACACCACCAUGCCACACAGCCUUGCAUCUUCUGAGGAGCUGUGGCCCCCUGCGUUUCACAGCCUCUGGAGUCACCAGUCCUUCCUGAUGGCAUGACACCUUCUUCUCCAAGC